CAGCAAUGACUGAGGUGCUGGAGGGGCGAGCGUGGCCCGUGUGCUGUGCCGCAGGGCUGGGGGCCGAGAGGAGUCAGAGCUGAGCGUGGGGCAGCCGGCAGGGCAUGAAGGCUGAGGUCAGGAGCACUGGGCAGCAUAGGAUCCUGAUGCAAAGAACCCUGAAGACUGGGAUGAAAGGGAAAUGAUUGAGGAUCUUGAAGAGAAGAAACCAGCAGUGAGGGAAUAAUAAAUAGCCAUAUUUCACUUUGGAUACCAUGACUUUGAUAAUUAUUACCUUGAGGACUGGGACCAGCUAGAACACUUUCCUGGCCCAGAUGUCAAGAAGCCAGAUGACAGGGAUGAAGAGAUGGAUGGCAAAUGGGAACCACUGAUGAUCUCAAACCUGGAUUAUAAAGUAAAACAUUGUUGCAUAUCCUUACUGUGAUUAAAGGAAGCAGAAAAGAAAACAAAAGUACAGGAAGACUAGUGUACGGAAAUAUAUAAAGAGGAAGAAAAAGAAGAGUCUGAAAAAGAAACAGAUUUCAUCAUCAAAAUGAACUCUAAUGGAACAAAAAUAGUGACACCCUGGUUAUAGUCACCAAGCUGUCUUAAGUAUGGGAAGCAAACCAUUCAGCCUCUCAAUAAUGCACUCUUUUAACUAAAUAGCGGUGGUACAUUCCAAUUUUGAAAUGAAUGAUCAUACUUUCUGACGUACAUAGAAAAAUAGCUUUAAUUUAGGUCUGCUCUGAAAAUUCAAUCCAUACUACUCCCUAGCUACUAAAAAAAAUUGAAUUGAUUUCUUCUUGUUUUAAACAGGUCAGUUAUGCAUUUCCUUGAUUUAUAAAGCCACCAGGCACUUUUAAUAUAGACAAUAUGCUUAGGAAAAGGGGAAAUAGAAUAAACUGUUGAUUAAAAGCCUUUCAGCACAGUAUUUGGUAAGCAUGUUAGUUCUUGGCCCUAAUUUUGGUUGAAUAAUCACACAUUACAAUGCUGACAUGUUUAAUUUAUAAUGAAGGCUGUUGUUGUUUCAGCAUCAGUAUCACUACUUUCCGUAUUUCUAUUUAUGUACAUGCUGGGUAGUGCAAGUGGUGGCUAAGCCUUUGACAAUUAUAUUUAUUGAAGGUCCUAUUGAAUAAAAGUUUUUUGAGACUUCUCUGGUUUAAAAAAGUAAUCUUACGAUAAAAAAAAUAUUUUCAGUGUGAAAGACUGCACUGCUAUAUUCCCCCAGGCUAGCUUAUGAGGAGUUAAUUUGUAUUUUAUAUAUUUUUGUACAAUAGUUGUGGGGUAUGAGAUGCAACA